AUUGAACGCUGGCGGCAGGCCUAACACAUGCAAGUCGAACGGUAGCACAGAGAGCUUGCUCUCGGGUGACGAGUGGCGGACGGGUGAGUAACGUCUGGGAAACUGCCCGAUGGAGGGGGAUAACUACUGGAAACGGUAGCUAAUACCGCAUAACGUCGCAAGACCAAAGUGGGGGACCUUCGGGCCUCACACCAUCGGAUGUGCCCAGAUGGGAUUAGCUAGUAGGUGGGGUAAUGGCUCACCUAGGCGACGGUCCCUAGCUGGUCUGAGAGGCUGACCAGGCACACGGGACCUGAGACACGGUCCAGAGUCCUGCGGGAGGCAGCAGUGGGGAAUAUUGCACGAUGGGCGCAAGCCUGAUGCAGCCAUGCCGCGUGUAUGAAGAAGGCCUUCGGGUUGUAAAGUACUUUCAGCGGGGAGGAAGGCGGUGAAGUUAAUAACUUCACCGAUUGACGUUACCCGCAGAAGAAGCACCGGCUAACUCCGUGCCAGCCGCCGCCGUAA
rnacentral:rRNA from 1 species